UACGGAGGGGGCUAGCGUUGUUCGGAAUUACUGGGCGUAAAGCGCACGUAGGCGGCUUUGUAAGUUAGAGGUGAAAGCCCGGAGCUCAACUCCGGAAUUGCCUUUAAGACUGCAUCGCUAGAAUUGUGGAGAGGUGAGUGGAAUUCCGAGUGUAGAGGUGAAAUUCGUAGAUAUCAGGAGGAACACCUGCGGUGUAGACGGCUUACUGGACCAUAACUGACGCUGAGGCACGAAAGCGUGGGUAGCAAACAGG
rnacentral:rRNA from 1 species